GCCAGUGUGAUGCAGUUGUUUUGAGUGUUGGACCUAUAACUCUGGAGACCAGGGUUCGAAUCCCUGCUCAGCCA